GAGCUUCAGUCCAGUUUUCGAGGCUUGUUUUAAGUUGCCUGCGGCUCGUACAUGGACACAGGCAGCUAAAGCAAGUCUGGAACGCUGGAAACGCAC
ensembl:miRNA mir1788 microRNA mir-1788